CCGUGUGGCUUUAUUUUCAGGGAAGCUGUCAUGGCUGCCCUGUACAAGUGGCGCUUGACGUCUGGGUCUUGCGCAAUGGAAAUCUGCGAACCGUGUCAGGUUGGGAACAAAGCAGCACUAAGCGGAAUUUUCCAUGUGCCGCAAGGGUGCCUGGGCUUAGUUAACUGUACAGGUAACGCAUGGCAGUUUCCCUGAGGGUAAGGAACACGG
rnacentral:SRP_RNA from 1 species